CCAACGGCCCUCUUUAGGGCCACAUCUAUUUUCGAAUACUGCUCCU
rfam:Ancylostoma ceylanicum strain HY135 Acey_s0158_scaf, whole genome shotgun sequence.